rnacentral:rRNA from 1 species
UACGGGGGGAGCAAGCGUUGUUCGGAUUACUGGCGUAAAGGGCGCGUAGGCGGUCAGCACAAGUCAGUUGUGAAAUCUCCGGGCUUAACUCGGAAAGGUCAACUGAUACUGUGCGACUAGAGUGCGGAAGGGGCAACUGGAAUUCUCGGUGUAGCGGUGAAAUGCGUAGAUAUCGAGAGGAACACCUGCGGCGAAGGCGGGUUGCUGGGCCGACACUGACGCUGAUGCGCGAAAGCCAGGGGAGCGAAGCGGG